AUGGGCAAUCUUUGGAACAUCCUCACUGGUGACGGCACAUUGGAAAUAACUCCGGAGGACGUCAUCGCCAAGCGGGGUGCCGUGGGCUGGGAAGGAGGCGAGGGCGUGGAGCCGGCGGCGGCCGCACACGCCGGGACCCGCGCAGCUGCUAGGGCGUCCCGGGGGCUCCGUGGGGGCGCGCCCGCCGCCGCGGCUCGGGGGCUCGAGGAGCCCGGCGUGCCCUGGCGCUGCGCGGAUGGCCCGGCUCCCGCGGCCGCGCUCCGGCUCCUGCUGGCCCUGCUGGCCGCCGCCGUCGGGUGCCAGGAGCAGGCCCAGAGCACGGACUGGAGGGCCCCGCUGAAGACCAUCCGCAACGGCGUGCACAAGAUAGACACGUACCUGAACGCCGCCUUGGACCUCCUGGGAGGCGAGGACGGGCUCUGCCAGUACAAGCGCAGCGACGGAUCCAAGCCUUUCCCACGUUACGGUUAUAAACCCUCCCCGCCGAAUGGCUGUGGCUCUCCACUGUUUGGUGUUCAUCUUAACAUUGGGAUCCCUUCCCUGACAAAGUGCUGCAACCAACACGACAGGUGCUAUGAGACCUGUGGCCAAAGCAAGAAUGACUGUGAUGAGGAGUUCCAGUACUGCCUGUCCAAGAUCUGCCGGGACGUGCAGAAAACACUGGGACUGGCCCAGCACGUUCAGGCAUGUGAGAGAACAGUGGAGCUCUUGUUUGACAGCGUCAUACAUUUAGGCUGUAAACCCUACCUGGACAGUCAGCAAGCCGCGUGCAGGUGUCGUUACGAAGAAAAGACUGAUCUGUAAAGAAGAUGCUGACUGCUGGUGACAGAUGAGGAUGGAAGAACAUAACCUUUGACAAAGGACUAAUGUAUUUAUAGCAUAAAGCCAUCGUAUUUUGUGAAAAGAUUAAGACCUUCCAAGAGUUUAUAUUCUGAUGUUAAAUCCCCAAAGUAAAACAAAGUGGGGGAGGUAGUGAGGAGGGCACGUCUGCCUUCUCAGGCAUCUUCCUGGUGGUGGUGCGUAGUGU